UCCACGUGUGCCCUUUUCUGCUCCAUCUUGCUCCACUUUCUUCUUCUUCUUUGUUAUUCUAUUCAUUCUGUUUUUGUCUCUUCUACAUGUGCUGAUAAUUGCUCAUUUCUUUUUGUCUUUGUUUUUGAUUCGUUUGAUGCUACAUUUUUGCUCAAUCAGAGAUGGAUCAAAGAAUUGAAAGAUGUGAUACUGACGAUUGACUUAGAUGCUUCUCCACCGACAGAGAUUUGAUUUGGAGGUAAUCGUGAAUAGGUAAAAUAUCUUCUCGAUUGUUCAAAUUUUUGGGGAUUUACUCCAUAUUUUUUUCCUUUCAAAUUUUGGGCCUAUCUGUUUACAUCUUCUCUGUAAUUGUAUUUUGUGGUUUUCUUGAUUUCUCAAUAUGCAAAAAUGAAGACAAUUUAUUAUUCAUUUAGUUGGAAUAUAAUGGUUGCAAAAUUAUGAUUUCACGGGUUUUGAAAGUAGCAGCCGAUCAAGGGAAGAAAAUGGCACUGCUUGUGUCGACUCUAAGAGGUAAUUUUUGCACUUUGUUUGUUCUAAUGUUAUAUGCUUAGUUAUAUUUCUAAAUUGUUGUGAAACCUAUAGUAGAUACAACUAAAUAACAAGAUGUGAUAGAAAUAAAAAAAUAGCCCAUAACCUGAAAGACUGGUAAUGGAAGAACAAAAACAAUGAUCCACUGGAAAAGGCUAUGAACCAAAAAAGGUAAGCAAGAAAGUUAUACUCAAUCAAAUUUUUCCCAUUUUAUUCAAUCAGAUUACUCCGUGAAAGUUUAUUGGAGAAACAAAUUGGAAGAUUAAAGCUUUUCUCUUUAUUCGUAAAAGAGUCGCGAUGUUGAUGAAUGAGAUGGAGUUUUCUUGUGCCUAGAGAACUACUAAAGAAGCAGCAUAGCCAGUAACAACUUUCUGAUACAUUCAACCUUUAUUUGGAGAAAGUAAAGAGUUCAAAAAAAGGUAUAAGCAAUAAUUCUCAAAACUCAGAAACAAGUGUAAUUGGAUCAAGAAAGCAAAUAUUUUUUUAUCUCUAAUUUCUCUGUGUGUACUUUGUUCUAUAGAAAGUAGGAAGAUUCUUAUGCAUUUGAGAGAGGGCUUAAAUCUGUAGUUUCAGUAAUGAAAACUUUUAAAUUUGUGUUUGAGGCUGUAGAGGGAAAACAUAGAUGUGGAUUUCCAAAUUUCUGAUGUUGAUGGUUAAACUUCUAGGUCUUAUUGGUCUUGAGAUGGAUCUUCCAAUCAUAAAUAUAAGUACCUUUAUUUAUCUUAAUCGUAAAUAUAUCCUUUAUGUUUUCUUUGGUUGUGGUUAGCUAAAAUAUUGUAGCAUCAAGUAUUGGGUAUCUUAAACUUUAACAUAUAUAUAUAAUGUUUUCCCUAAGCCGUAAAGAUUUAUUGCAUCUAUUGAUUAAUGAAUUUCGUUUGUCCCGUGUUAUUAGCAAAACAAUGACAACAAGCCUGUAAUGGACGGAGCAACUCAUAGUGCUUGUUUCUAUUUGGUGACCUGUCAGCUUGAGGAACUAAAUAUGCGCGGAAAUAUCUAAUGAGAAAAAAUGUGGAUUGUGACAACGAGAACAAGUCUAACAAUCAAGACAAGUCUCAUCAAAUAGGAGGAAGAGGUGAGAAGCACAACUUUCAGGCGAAGCAGAUCAAACGGGAAUCUUAACAAGAAAAGGAAGGAUGAAGAAGAUGCAAGCAAUGAAAAUCCUGCAAUUGAAAAGAGAACUCAUGUUUUUUGGUCUAUAAAGUUUCACAGGGAUUCCUAAUGAAAGCUUCACAUAGAGCUUCAUAGGAAGCUUGUUGCAGCAGUUAAUUAUUUAUGCAUUGGAAGUGAUUUCUUUAGCAUCACUGUGGAAGAUUUUGACCUAAUGAAUGUUGAAGGAGUUAUAAGAGGGAAUUUGGCAAGCCAUCUCCAGGUAUCUUUAUAUAUAGUUUCAUAUGUUUUCUUUAAUCUGCUUUAUAUUUUUACAAAUGGGAUAUAUGUAUGCAAUCCAUGUACAUUGUUUAUGAAUUUUGAAUUUGGUUGGCUCUUGAACUAAGCAUGGAAAGAAUUAUAUAUCCUUUCUUUUAUUACUUUGCUCUCUAUAUUCAACUUUCAGACUUCACCAUAAAAUCUGCCUUUUGUCGAUAUCUUUUCUUUGAGGAACACUUCUAAGAUGUUGUGAAGUAGUAGUCGUCUGUUCUGCUUAAACGACAGGUUUGUACUGCGUAACUCUCUUUUGAAGCUUUUCAUUCUCAGGAAAAAAAAACCUCUCUUUUGAAGCUUUUUGUGUAGUGCCACUAAAUUUUUCUUUAAGUUACACAAGUUUAUUUGAGUCUGUGAAUUCGAAAGUUAAAGAAGGUAAGCAUGAAUCUAAAAACCGAGAGCACAAAAUCUUGUGAGAUUUAGGCAAAAAUUUCCUGAGUUUACUGCCUAGAAAAUAGAACCUUCUGGUGGUAAGUGUGUGAUAGGGUGGUAAUUAUGUUUUGGUUUUUCUACUUCAUCCAUUGUUAUCCUCUUAACUGAUUAUUACAUUUUCGUUUGAUAUGUUUGUUUUUAAUUGUUCUACUACGAUCGGCUUCUAGCCGCAAAGAAGUGUUAACAUAGUAGCUUGCCCCUUGAAGCCUUUCCUUAACAUAUCCACGUAAUGUGCAUACGAAUCUCAUAUUCAUAUAAAUAUUUGUCCUGCUUUUGUCUUCUAAAGUUGAAGAGGAACAUAAUAGAGUACAGUUAGAGCUAUAAAUGAUUAACAAAAAUUCAUGAAUGUUUCAAAAGAGGGAGGCCAAAUUUAAGUUUAAGCUUUUGCUGGAUUCAAUUCAAGAAGUCUUUUCCUUUUCUUGUUUUUUUUUUUUUUAUAAAAAGGUAAUUUCUUAUACUUGCACAAUUUCAUGAAGAAUCAGCAAUAUAUCUUACUAGAAAAAUUGAAGUGGCUUGAAAAAAAUUACAUUUUCAGAGUUGUUUCCUAGAAUUGGUUGGUACACCAAUUUUCUUAACCACAGAAAUCUGCUUGCCAAUUACAAUAACAAGAAGUUGAAUCUUGUCCUUGUAAAGAAUAGUGAUUGAAAGGGUAACACCCUUUGGAUAUUUUACGACACUCCGUCAGGCAUAUUCUUGAAUCUGAUUCUACUGGGCUAUUAUUCAUUUCAGCCUAACAUUUGUUGUUGGGGAAGAGAUAUUGACUUGCGCAAUAUUGGUUGGAAACAAAUGAAGAAUCACAGGUUUUCUUAUGUUCGUUGUUGCAACUAUCAAUAUGUUGUUGAUAAAAUACUUACUUUCUGCCAUUAACCUCUUCCUGCUUGGGGCUACCAAUAGUGAAUAAGUACUAUCAAUACUUUUAAUACAUUUUAGAGUGGAUAUAAAGCACCUUUAAACUUCACAUAAUUUGACAGGUACUCUUCUUUCGAUAAGGUCGGGAGAAAAUGACGAUGCUGCGGACGAGAACGGAUGGAGGUUGCUUGAACAAGUUUAAGAUGAACCCCUAUACGUAAAACCACUUGGUGUCAUAAGUCAUUGAAUGCUUGUUUAGUUGGUAAAAAAAAAGUAUGUGAAUCUAUGUUUUAGUUGUAAAUAUUAAAUUAUAAUAGGUUCAUUACUGUUAGACCAACUUUGAGAUGAAUGCAAUAGUUUUUUUUUUAUA